AGAAAAGAGGAAGGGUCUGGUUCUUUCCCACUUUUCCUCUUUAGGUUUUAUUGGAAAAAAUCAUGAUCUACGAAGAUCCAACGGUCCAAUCUUCAAAAACGUGAUCCUAGCACUCGGAUCUACUUUUCUACCGAUUGUUUUGAGGUAUUGCGCUACUUGGUGCUUGCUUGUGGUUCCCCAAAUUUCAUAUAUUAUUUGGGUGAAUUUUGUAAUGCAUUGCAUGGUGGUGUCUAGGAAACCUAGAGCUUAAUAUCCGCGUAGCCAAGGGAUUCUACUAUUCAAAAAUGCUUCAGAGUCAGAAUAUUUUUAGUUCCCUGUCCGCCGUCCAGACGAUUGAGCCAUCCCGUCCGGACGACCAUCUGUCACUGUUCCAUCCGUCUGAACGACGUGCCAUACUGUCCGGACUCCAGACAGACCAAGCAUCAUCCGUCCGGACGACGUGUCUCUCCGUCCGGACCCUCCACUGUGUCGAGAAGGUUCUAUCCAGCUUGCAUCCGUCCGGACGUUUCAGUAGCACGUCUGAACGCCUCUUAGUACUUGAUCAGUUUCAGAUUUCUUUCCAAGUUCCAAGAAAGGGAAGAUCUAUCAACCGUCCGGACGAUGUGGUAUCCCGUCCGGACGCACGUCUCUUUAAGGCAAGAAUCACAAUUCAAAUAUCACUGUCCGGACGUCUGACAGCUGUGGUCCGGAUGCGUUCAUCAAAGAAGGAAAUUACUGAUUUGACUUCAACCGUCCGGACGAUUGCCUAUCAUGGUCCGGACGCGCAUUGCAAAUAUGAAAACUGCGUGUUGAAGAAUAGCCGUCCGGACGCUCAUCCCCCAUGGUCCGAACGCGCGAAGCCUUAUAAGGAAAUUAAUUGCAGUGGAUGUGCGACCGUCUGGACGAUGUGCCAUCCCGUCCGGACGAGGCUCUUAAACAGGAAAGAUUUCCCCGGGAAAUUUUCAGAAAAUCUUGUCGUACAGUUGUCCGUCCGGAUGGCCCAUGUCCACUGUCCGGACGGCGCCCAGGUAUAUUUUGCCUGACGCUCAUUUGAGCCCCUAGCCUAUAAAUAGAGGCCCUUGGGCAUUGAGAACUGCAAGAAUUCGGUAUUGAAUUCAACAAUUGCUCAGAGACGUGAUAUUUCCUCUGAAGCCCUAUCAAGUGUGCUGUUGCUGUGCUAAACCUGAAGUCUAUCUUAGAGGUCGGCUCUAAGAUAAAGGAUUCCAUUGAAGACCCCUUCAGGUAGGAGAACCUGGUUGGGAAGCGUUCGUGUUGGGUUACACGUCAGAGAUCAAGAUACGACCACUGCAUCGGGUAUAUGUGAGUGUUACUGUCUCGUAUCUAGCUAUGUCUUCUGAAUAGUGGAAUUCCUGGGUUUGGCUGCCCUGGAGUGGUUUUUCUCUUAAUUGAGUUUCCACUUCGUCAACAAAAAUCAGAGUCAUUUAUUUUCCGCUGUGCUUUAAUUUUUGUUGACACUUAUGCACACACUUUAUUUU